rnacentral:lncRNA from 1 species
UUGUAGUAUUUUAAUUUAUAAGAAACGAGAUUGCAAUAACAGCCAAUACUUUAGAGUAAACUUUAAUUAAAUCGUUUUUAUGAAGUUUUAAGGAAAAAUGAUAUAGUUUUUUGAAAAAGAGUAUUUCGAAAAAUCUCAAUAUAUGUCAUUCAACAAUCAAACCAUACUAGGGUCAUAACUUUGGUAAAAAUUUCACCUGAAGAAAAAAAGUUUUUUGAAAAAGAGUAUUUCGAAAAAUCUCAAUAUAUGUCAUUCAACAAUCAAACCAUACUAGGGUCAUAACUUUGGUAAAAAUUUCACCUGAAGAAAAAAUAUAAAUUAGAAAACUUAUUGGACCCAAACCUAACCUAGAAGUAAAAACUGGAAAAG